GUGUGCAGUGUAUAUAUAUAUAUUAAACCGGGCCCUAACUGGGCUAAAUUUUAACGUUUAUUUGAGCCCAGUUAAGAAUAUUUUCUUAACUUUCUCAAAUCAAUGCUUCACUCUCACUGUUUCACUUUCACAUGAGUGAUCAUCGUUCUCAAGAAGUACAAAAACCCAUAAAUCAAUGGCGGUGAUGAAGAUUGUGAUGAAUAGAAGAAGAAGAAGAAGAAGGGUGAGUGAGAGAGAAGCAAAGCUUCCAUGUGCAGAGUUUGGUAGAAAAGGGUAUGAAUCUGGUGGAGCAAAACCUCUGACUGAACAUUCCCUGAUGGUCCAGCUUCCAUUAAUAGAUCAUUGUAAAACUUGGUUCCAUAGAACAUUCCAGUAUCGUCUGCAUCAUAGUUAAGAAUUUGCAAAGGAGCGUUGUCUUUUCUUGGUGUGUUGAGACCUUUCAUGGUUAGAAUCUUUGAGUCAGCCCUGCAAGAAAUUAUUGGCACAAGACGGGCAAGGAGUUAUGGUGUCGUUGUAGAAAGAUGAAAAGGAGACGCAACAGCUUGGAUGCUUUCUGGCCAGAAACUGUGAAUAUGUGCAGUUGUGAGAAAAGCGGUAGAUGGCACGAUUUUGGCUGGACCACAGGUGUAACCAGGCCCAGGACCAAGCAAUGUGAAGUUCUUAGGAAG